UACGUAGGGUGCAAGCGUUACUCGGAAUUACUGGGCGUAAAGCGUGCGCAGGCGGUGAUGUAAGACAGAUGUGAAAUCCCCGGGCUCAACCUGGGAACUGCAUUUGUGACUGCAUCGCUGGAGUGCGGCAGAGGGGGAUGGAAUUCCGCAUGUAGCAGUGAAAUGCGUAGAUAUGCGGAGGAACACCGAUGGCGAAGGCAAUCCCCUGGGCCUGCACUGACGUUCAUGCACGAAAGCGUGGGGAGCAAACAGG
rnacentral:rRNA from 1 species